GUUCGUUUCGGCAGCACAUAUACUGAAAUUGGAACGAUUCCACGAGGACUAGCGGGGCCCCUGCACAAGAACGACACACGGGUCCCUGAGGCAUUCCCUGUGCUG